rnacentral:miRNA from 1 species
AGCAAGUUUACUUAGCAUAGUGUUCUUGGAUUCUUCCAAGAACACUAUGCUAAGUAAAAGAAGCCAGA